GCUAGAAGGAACAGUGGAAGGAGGUUGGAAUAGAUGUUGUGUGAACCACUUAGCCAAGUCUGCAAUUCUCUCCCACCACACUCCUGCUAUCUCCUAAUGCUCCCUAUUAAUCCUCCAUAAAAUGUAUUACUGUUUGAAAUCACACAUGCACACACACAUGCCUAUGUGGGUAUGUGUAAAAUUUUCCAUUUUGUUUUCAUUAUAUUGUGA
rnacentral:lncRNA from 10 species